rnacentral:lncRNA from 1 species
GGAGUGGGACCCUGGAGAAGGCAGGGUCUGACCAGGCUUGGCCGGUCAGACUCCAGCCCUGAUAUGGCUAGCCUCCAUAGUAUUGUAUAGUCUAGACACCAUAGUGGAGGCUAUAGAGGAUUAUUCAACUCUUACCCUACGAGGUCCGGAACCUGCUGGUUUUCUGUUCUAUCUAAUAAUUAAUUGCCCAGGUCUACAUUAGUCCCUGAUUAGAGGGGAACAAUGAAAAACACAGUGGAACUGGCUUAGAGGUCCAGAGUUGAGUUUGAGGACUAUAGAGGUUAGCCAUAUCAGGGCUUGUCAAGCCCCUAUUCACAGGGAAUAACCACAUACACCUGUAAAACACUCACAUACACUGUGGAAUAUGCUAUGUAGUUCACACCUAUAAAUAUAGAUAGUGUAAUAUAUGUGUGUGUUGUAAUUAUAAACUGAUUGGUGCCUCAUCUACUGUGGAAUAAUGACUUAUGUCACCCGAAACAUGGUUAGCCAGUGCCGAUUGGCUCCUGGUGUUUUGCUUGUGCUGAUUGGUCUAAAUCAGAGUGAUGCUCCAGCUGAUUGAUCUGUAGAUGGCGAGGCCUUGGCUUGUAGUGCCGCCGUCACUUAACUACUUGAUUGAACUGAUUAUGUCACCUCCGGAGGAAAGGAAUCGAAACACCAAAUUGGUCCAAUCAAAGGCAUGAUUAGUUGAAUCAGUCACCUCCUGUUGCAGGGGCACUCCAGGACCGGGGUUUCCCAUUCCUAGUCAACACCCCACACAUACACACACACACACUUUGGUCAGAGAGGAAAGUGAGAUUGUCAGGAGAUUUAUCAAACCAUUUACCCACGCAAUUAAAUGCAAAUGACAAUACACUGCAUUUAAUGGCAGGUCCUGACAUGCUAUACAUGUAGUUUUUCAGGGGUGUGUGGUUAUAUUCUGUGUGUGUGUUCUGGAGGGUAGAAGGUCAUGAACUUUGAACGCCACCAGACGACCCCAGGUUCAGUCUCCCUUUGGGACUUCAUCACUCCUGCACGAUGUUGAUCAAAUUCCAAGAUGGCGUGCU